rnacentral:rRNA from 1 species
UAUACAUGCAAGUCGAGCGAAUGGAUUAAGAGCUUGCUCUUAUGAAGUUAGCGGCGGACGGGUGAGUAACACGUGGGUAACCUGCCCAUAAGACUGGGAUAACUCCGGGAAACCGGGGCUAAUACCGGAUAACAUUUUGAACCGCAUGGUUCGAAAUUGAAAGGCGGCUUCGGCUGUCACUUAUGGAUGGACCCGCGUCGCAUUAGCUAGUUGGUGAGGUAACGGCUCACCAAGGCAACGAUGCGUAGCCGACCUGAGAGGGUGAUCGGCCACACUGGGACUGAGACACGGCCCAGACUCCUACGGGAGGCAGCAGUAGGGAAUCUUCCGCAAUGGACGAAAGUCUGACGGAGCAACGCCGCGUGAGUGAUGAAGGCUUUCGGGUCGUAAAACUCUGUUGUUAGGGAAGAACAAGUGCUAGUUGAAUAAGCUGGCACCUUGACGGUACCUAACCAGAAAGCCACGGCUAACUACGUGCCAGCAGCCGCGGUAAUACGUAGGUGGCAAGCGUUAUCCGGAAUUAUUGGGCGUAAAGCGCGCGCAGGUGGUUUCUUAAGUCUGAUGUGAAAGCCCACGGCUCAACCGUGGAGGGUCAUUGGAAACUGGGAGACUUGAGUGCAGAAGAGGAAAGUGGAAUUCCAUGUGUAGCGGUGAAAUGCGUAGAGAUAUGGAGGAACACCAGUGGCGAAGGCGACUUUCUGGUCUGUAACUGACACUGAGGCGCGAAAGCGUGGGGAGCAAACAGG